rnacentral:tRNA from 1 species
GCCUGGGUGGCUCAGUCAGUUGAGCGCCCGACUUCUGCCUGGGUCAUGAUCUCGCGGUUCGUGGGUUCGAGCCCCGCAUCGGGCU